rnacentral:rRNA from 1 species
AUUGAACGCUGGCGGCAGGCCUAACACAUGCAAGUCGAACGAGUGGCGGACGGGAGAGUAAUGUCUGGGAAACUGCCUGAUGGAGGGGGAUAACCACCGGAAACGGUAGCUAAUACCGCAUACCCACAGAUGUGCCCAGAUGGGAUGAGCUAGUUGGGGGGGUAACGGCUCACCAAGGCGACGAUCCCUAGCUGGUCUGAGAGGAGUACCAGCCACACUGGAACAUAGACACGGUCCAGAGUCCUACGGGAGGCAGCAUGGGGGAAUAUUGCACAAUGGGCGAAAGCCUGAUGCAGCCAUGCCGCGUGUAUGAAGAAGGCCUUCGGGUUGUAAAGUACUUUCAGCGGGGAGGCGUUACCCGCAGAAGAAGCACCGGCUAACUCCGUGCCAGCAGCCGCGGUAAUAC